GACGAACGCUGGCGGCGUGCUUAACACAUGCAAGUCGAACGGUGAAGCGAGUGCUUGCACUCGUGGAUCAGUGGCGGACGGGUGAGUAACACGUGAGUAACCUGCCCAUCACUCUGGGAUAAGCACUGGAAACGGUGUCUAAUACUGGAUACGACCAACCCUUGCAUGGGGUGUUGGUGGAAAGAUUUAUCGGUGAUGGAUGGACUCGCGGCCUAUCAGCUUGUUGGCGGGGUAAUGGCCCACCAAGGCGACGACGGGUAGCCGGCCUGAGAGGGUGACCGGCCACACUGGGACUGAGACACGGCCCAGACUCCUACGGGAGGCAGCAGUGGGGAAUAUUGCACAAUGGGCGAAAGCCUGAUGCAGCGACGCCGCGUGAGGGAUGACGGCCUUCGGGUUGUAAACCUCUUUCAGCAGGGAAGAAGCGAAAGUGACGGUACCUGCAGAAGAAGCACCGGCUAACUACGUG
rnacentral:rRNA from 1 species